ACUUGCCUCUUGGACUGGGACAACUGUUGGAAACAACAGCUAAUACCGGAUAUUAUGAGAUUCUCGCAUGAGAAAUUUAUGAAAGCUAUAUGCGCCAAGAGAGAGCCUUGCGUUCCAUUAGCUAGUUGGUGGGGUAACGGCCCACCAAGGCGACGAUGGAUAGCCGGCCUGAGAGGGUGAACAGCCACAAGGGGACUGAGACACGGCCCUUACUCCUACGGGAGGCAGCAGUGGGGAAUAUUGGACAAUGGGCCACAAGCCUGAUCCAGCAAUUCUGUGUGCACGAUGAAGGUCUUCGGAUUGUAAAGUGCUUUCAGUUGGGAAGAAGAAAGUGACGGUACCAACAGAAGAAGCGACGGCUAAAUACGUGCCAGCAGCCGCGGUAAUACGUAUGUCGCAAGCGUUAUCCGGAUUUAUUGGGCGUAAAGCGCGUCUAGGCGGAAAAAUAAGUCUGAUGUUAAAAUGCGGGGCUCAACUCCGUAUUGCGUUGGAAACUGUUUUUCUAGAGUACUGGAGAGGUGGGCGGAACUACAAGUGUAGAGGUGAAAUUCGUAGAUAUUUGUAGGA
rnacentral:rRNA from 1 species